rnacentral:rRNA from 1 species
CAGCACCCCGAGUGGUCGGGACGAUUAUUGGGCCUAAAGCAUCCGUAGCCGGUUCUGCAAGUCCCCCGUUAAAUCCAGCUGCUCAACAGAUGGGCCGCGGAGGAUACUACAGAGCUAGGAGGCAGGAGAGGCAAGCGGUACUCAGUGGGUAGGGGUAAAAUCCGUUGAUCCAUUGAAGACCACCAGUGGCGAAGGCGGCUUGCCAGAAUGCGCUCGACGGUGAGGGAUGAAAGCUGGGGGAGCAAACCGGAUUAGAUACCCGAGUAGUCC